AACGCGUAGCGGCAGGCGUUAAUAACAUGCAAGUACGAGGGGCGAUCAAGGUACACGAAAGUGUAUUGUUAGCGACCGGCGGACGGGUGAGUAAUAGGUAGGUAACCUACCUCAUACUGAGGCAUAGCUGGGAGAAAUUCCAGGUAAUUCCUCAUGAGGUUAUAUGACACAUGUGAUAUAAUCAAAAGGUAUCGCAAGGUACUGGGUAUGAGAUGGGCUUACUGACCAUUAGCUAGUUGGUGAGAUAAGAGCUCACCAAGGCGAAGAUGGUUAGGGGUUUUGAGAGAGAGAUCCCCCACAUUGGAACUGAGAUACGGUCCAGACUCCUACGGGAGGCAGCAGUAGGGAAUAUUGGGCAAUGGGCGGAAGCCUGACCCAGCCAUGCCGCGUGAAGGAAGACGGCCUUAUGGGUUGUAAACUUCUUUACUAUGCGACUAACUAGAUUUAAGAGAUAAUUCUAUAGAAUGUAGCAUAGCAAAAAGCACCGGCUAACUCCGUG
rnacentral:rRNA from 1 species